rnacentral:rRNA from 1 species
GACCUCAAAUCAGGUAGGGCUACCCGCUGAACUUAAGCAUAUCAAUAAGCGGAGGAAAAGAAACUAACAAGGAUUCCCCUAGUAGCGGCGAGCGAACCGGGACGAGCUCAAAUUUGAAAUCUGGCGCCCUCCGGGCGUCCGAGUUGUAAUCUACAGAAGCGUCUUCCGCGCCGGACCGUGUCCAAGUCCCUUGGAACAGGGUAUCAAAGAGGGUGACAAUCCCGUGCUUGACACGACGACCGGUGCUCUGUGAUGCGCUCUCCACGAGUCGAGUUGUUUGGGAAUGCAGCUCAAAACGGGUGGUAAAUUCCAUCUAAAGCUAAAUAUUGGCAAGA